rnacentral:lncRNA from 1 species
ACGUGUGUUUAAGAAAUUGUUGUGGCUAAACCAAAUUAUCAGUUGUCCCAACCAGUAAAAUGUCCUGGCUGUUUUCCUAAGCGAUGACAGGACUAUGUUUAGUGAAAGAGAAGUGCCAGCUGUCUUGCUAACAGAACUCUGACAUUCUCUUUAACUGAACGAUGCAGGAAAAUUGCAAGUUGCCCUUCACUGCCCUUUGGAACAAGAGCCAUCACUAGUCGAAGAAAAUAUUUGAGUUGAAAGCAGUGAGAAUGGACAGUUACUGAUGCCAGUUUGAAGACCACUUCCCACCUUGAUCAUGCAAAGAUAGUGUUGGCAAAAUGUAGCCCAUCAGAUCUAGUUGAACCGCAUCAUUCAUUGUGUAUUAUAAUAGGCGUAGUCUUCUGAGAAGGUCUCUCAUUGUUCCCACGAAAAGACAUGGGAGGUGUGAAAAAAAUGUCAGUCAUUUGUUAAGUUUGCCUUAGUAGAGUGCCCACAGAAAUCUGUGUCU